CCAAACAUUAUAUCAGAGGAACAGGGAGUGAUAUUAAGCUGUUCAACUAAAUGUACUCUGAACAACAAUCAUACUUACUUCUGGUUCAAGAACGGACGGCUGGUAACGGAUGGAUUCACUAAAGCCAACAAGCUGUACCUGGACUCAGUCAGCAAUGAAGAUCUUCAAGAGUAUUCCUGUGCUGUAGAAGGUGACACUUCUCUCAUGAUACAUGUGCUUUAGUUUGAAAUGAUUGUUUCUCUGAUGGUCAUGAUUCACUUCUUUGUGUUGUGAAUAUCCAGUGGACAGCACAGCGUUCAGCCAUUAUACAGUCAUUCUGCUGGUGUUUGUACCUCAGUUUCUCAUUAUAGCGGCUCUGUGGAUGUGCUUUUUCAUCAGAAUGCAUCUAAUCUCAAAGCCAAACUGAAGACAAAAGUGAAGAAUCUCAUGUUCCACAUCUGUUCAUCUGUCCAUCAGAGCUGGUGGAGUGAUGUCAUUGUGUUGUUCCAUUGUGAGGUCAUCACCUAGCAACAGUCAGAACUGUCAGCAGCAACAUCAGUGAUGUCAUAUCCAGUGACUUAUCAUUGACUGCGCAGUCUUCAUAAUCAAAUAAAACGAUAGUACAGGUUUUAGUCAUCCAUUUUUUUUCCUCCUUUUGCUAAAUGUAAGAUGUGCCUUCAAUAAA